rnacentral:rRNA from 1 species
AUUGAACGCUGGCGGCAGGCCUAACACAUGCAAGUCGAACGGUAACAGGAAGCAGCUUGCUGCUUCGCUGACGAGUGGCGGACGGGUGAGUAAUGUCUGGGAAGCUGCCUGAUGGAGGGGGAUAACUACUGGAAACGGUAGCUAAUACCGCAUAAUGUCGCAAGACCAAAGAGGGGGACCUUCGGGCCUCUUGCCAUCGGAUGUGCCCAGAUGGGAUUAGCUUGUUGGUGGGGUAACGGCUCACCAAGGCGACGAUCCCUAGCUGGUCUGAGAGGAUGACCAGCCACACUGGAACUGAGACACGGUCCAGACUCCUACGGGAGGCAGCAGUGGGGAAUAUUGCACAAUGGGCGCAAGCCUGAUGCAGCCAUGCCGCGUGUAUGAAGAAGGCCUUCGGGUUGUAAAGUACUUUCAGCGGGGAGGAAGGGAGUAAAGUUAAUACCUUUGCUCAUUGACGUUACCCGCAGAAGAAGCACCGGCUAACUCCGUGCCAGCAGCCGCGGUAAUACGGAGGGUGCAAGCGUUAAUCGGAAUUACUGGGCGUAAAGCGCACGCAGGCGGUUUGUUAAGUCAGAUGUGAAAUCCCCGGGCUCAACCUGGGAACUGCAUCUGAUACUGGCAAGCUUGAGUCUCGUAGAGGGGGGUAGAAUUCCAGGUGUAGCGGUGAAAUGCGUAGAGAUCUGGAGGAAUACCGGUGGCGAAGGCGGCCCCCUGGACGAAGACUGACGCUCAGGUGCGAAAGCGUGGGGAGCAAAACAGGAUUAGAUACCCUGGUAGUCCACGCCGUAAACGAUGUCGACUUGGAGGUUGUGCCCUUGAGGCGUGGCUUCCGGAGCUAACGCGUUAAGUCGACCGCCUGGGGAGUACGGCCGCAAGGUUAAAACUCAAAUGAAUUGACGGGGGCCCGCACAAGCGGUGGAGCAUGUGGUUUAAUUCGACGCAACGCGAAGAACCUUACCUGGUCUUGACAUCCACGGAAGUUUUCAGAGAUGAGAAUGUGCCUUCGGGAACCGUGAGACAGGUGCUGCAUGGCUGUCGUCAGCUCGUGUUGUGAAAUGUUGGGUUAAGUCCCGCAACGAGCGCAACCCUUAUCCUUUGUUGCCAGCGGUCCGGCCGGGAACUCAAAGGAGACUGCCAGUGAUAAACUGGAGGAAGGUGGGGAUGACGUCAAGUCAUCAUGGCCCUUACGACCAGGGCUACACACGUGCUACAAUGGCGCAUACAAAGAGAAGCGACCUCGCGAGAGCAAGCGGACCUCAUAAAGUGCGUCGUAGUCCGGAUUGGAGUCUGCAACUCGACUCCAUGAAGUCGGAAUCGCUAGUAAUCGUGGAUCAGAAUGCCACGGUGAAUACGUUCCCGGGCCUUGUACACACCGCCCGUCACUCCAUGGGAGUGGGUUGCAAAAGAAGUAGGUAGCUUAACCUUCGGGAGGGCGCUUACCACUUUGUGAUUCAUGACUGGGGUGAAGUCGUAACAAGGUAACCGUAGGGGAACCUGCGGUUG